UGUUCCGAUGGUUCGAUCUUUCCCAGGAAAAUGAGGUCCAUGUGAAUUCUGAGCAUUUUUACUCGAGAAAGGGGACUCUGAGCCUAAGUAGUCCUCAAUCACCGAUAGAAUACAAGUAUAAUGACGGCAAGGUGAAAAGAACAAUAUUAGGAGGGGAAUAAUAGCUAGAAACGGAUGCUAGUAACCUGUGGACUAAGGAGCAAAAGGAGGAAUCUGCCUAGAGGAGGGGCUCGGGUCUGAGUGGCUAUUGAAGAAACAGUAACUUAACAAGGUGAUGAUUGAUAGCUAGUAUGAGAGGAUGGUCAACCGCAUUAGGACCAAAGCACGGCCUAGACUCCUACUAGAGGCAACAGUGGGGAAUUUUCUGCAGUAGGCCUUAGCCUGAUGGAGUAAUGUCGCAUGGAGGUAGAAGACCCAUUGGUUGCGAACUUUUUAAGGAGGAGAAUUAAUGAUGUUAUUUGGGGAACAGGCAUUGCCAAACUCUAUGCUAGCACCUACGGUAAUACAGAUGGUGCAAGCACUAUUCAAAGUGAUUGGGCAUAAAGCAUUUGCAAGUGGCUUUUUAAAGUCCCCUGCCAAAUUCGAGGGCCUAACCCUUGAUAGGCAGUGAAAAUUGCCAAGCUGGAGUACUAUAAAGGCAUAGAAAAUUAUCCAGUGGAGUGGUGAAGUACGUAGAAAUUGAGAAGAACACUAAUGACAGAAGCACCCUUUUGGACCGUAGCAAGAGCACAAAAACUGGGUUAUUAUUAUAACUCUUUCGUAGUAGAAGCAUUUAUCAGUUCUCAA
rnacentral:ncRNA from 1 species